rnacentral:lncRNA from 1 species
AUUAGCACAACACAAUGCAGAAGAGCAGACUUACCUCCCGGAUUAGGAAUGCCACAGACAAGACAAGUCUCACCACGAAGCUUCCCCAGGCACAAACAUCAGGACUGCAGCUGGCAUGCCUUGAAGGCCAAGGGGAGCCCUUGAGCCCCUCCCUGGCCGCCCAGCUGGCGCACAGCAGUGGCUGUAUGGGGAAGGAAGUCAGUGUGGCUCCAGACGGAGAGAGCCUGAGACUAAUGCAGCCACAGACUGACAGUGGCGUGAGUUCUAUUAUUACCCCAUUAUCACUCUGGGAUCUGAGCCUAAAUGAAGCAUGCUUCCUCCCUGGUGCCAUUUCCUUUUAUCCUGGCUGGAGACUAAAAGCGGAUCAAUGGGGCAAUAAUGUAUGAUGUCACUUCCAUUAUAGCAACAGCCUCCCCGCCUCUUUCAGUCUGUCUGAAACGCACAGAACGAUCAAUUCUUCCCAAAAAUGGUUAAAAAAUGCUUUGGGAGCAUGCAUCUUCCAGAAAAGCAUUCUCUGCUAUAUUUGUCUAUGUUACUUUGGCAGGAACUGUUUACACAGAACAAAACAGAAGAAAUGAGGGAGGGAGAAAAAUCUCAAAUUCUCCUGUAGGCUGGAGACUUGUUGGCUGGAAUUCAACCCAAACAGGGGCCAGGGGCCAGGGCAGAAUGCCGCUGACCUCUGAGAGUCAUGUGCAGAAGGUGAAGGGUGACCUCACGGAUAUAAAACACCUUUCAUUGUAUAAGGUACUCUGAAUCUGGAAAAUUCCUUGCUACCUUCUCCAGGAAGCACAACCACUACCCUGCAGGCCUGAAGGCCACCCACUCAGGUCCAUGGCUGCCUGCCACAGGUAAAGGACACAUGUGGACGGAAGGAAGACAGGCACCACUCUGAGACUUAAAAUAAAACUCCAUUGAGUGAAUUUUCACUUAUAAGAUUCUUGCCGAUAGCGUGAGAUAAGGAUACCAUGGAGAGAAGUUCCCCAAACAAGAGCAGGAACUUCUAUUUCCUCAGGAUCCAGAGAGAAACAGAAACAGGAGCCAAAGGAAGCCAUGGUCUUCUCUGCCUGUCAGGAAAGGGCUUCCUUUCCUGUUGGGAUUCACACAACAGGCAGGGUAGGCGUAUUAAGCCUGCUCUUCGUUCAUGGGUAAUGUCUGUGGGACCUCCGGACAGAACUAAAGUGCCUUCCACGCAUUAGAAACUUAAAGAGAAACAGCUGCUGCUGCUGCUGCUGCUGCUGCUGCUGCUGCUGCUGCUGCUGCUGCUGCUGCUGCUGCUGGAGGCAGCAGAAAAAUGGUUCUCCACAUCGGUUUUUGUUUUAAUCGAACUUUAAAGAACUGCCUAAACCUAAGACUAGCUAGAACACUGAAUGUGAAUCUUGUUUGCAUUAUUUUGAGGGUAAAAAUGGAGGUUGCUAGCAAAUGAAGGUUAUCAAAUAAUGAAGAGUGAAAAUAUUUUCUUUUCAAAUUAUAGAACUCACCACCAGGCAGGCAACCCUCCUAGUAGUGUCAGUUUCUUUUGGCUACCAAGCAUCUUCAGAGCUACACUCUGCAAUGACCACUGCAGCAACAAAUAUUCACAGAAUCCAUGGCAUUAGAUGUUUGAGACACGUUACUAAUAGCUUGAGAUAUGUGAACUUGUAAGUCAUCGUUUGAUCACAGCCCCUCCAAACUGCUACCACAGGAUGAAAGAGCAUGAUAGCCGCCAAGAACAGGUGGGAGCUAAAGUAGGCUGUGGCACAGAGAAUCACCAUGCUUCCAAGUGGGAGCGUCAAAUUGUAAAAUGUGUUAUUAUUUGAACCUUUGUUAGAAGUAUUACCCAUGCUUCGAGCAAUGUGACAUCAAGCAUAUCCUGUGAACUGCAGGAAACCAGAGCAUUGGGGCCAGCUGGGUCCUACCACCAUGUGUCUACUACUAUUUUAUGCCACUGUGUAUUUCAGAAACUAAAUUAAGCUAAAUGCUCAAAUUAAAAUUUUCCAAGGACUUUACAAGAAACAUUUGAAGUUUUCUCAUCUGCCUGCCUAGAAUCUACCAGGUCCACAGUGAUGGGACAGAGGGGUACACUCCCACUACUUCACUCUUCUGGGAAGAACCGAUUCAAACAAGAAGUCCCAGAGCGCUACAGGCUAUCUUCCGUCCUGCUGAAGGUCCCGAAGCACAGCACUUUUAUGUAUCAAAGAGCACUUUCAACUUCUUGUGUUCAGAAUUUGAUAAACUUUGAACUUCUAAUUCAUAAGCAGUGAUAUCUUAAUUCUAAAUUCUUGUUAUCUACCAAUUCAUCUCAAUGUAAAUUCCAGGACGGGAAUAAAUGCGUUUCUGUUAU